CGGCUGAGUAACGCGUGGGUGACGUACCUGUUGGUGGGGAAUAACUGCCCGAAAGGGUGGCUAAUUCCGCAUAAGUCCUUCGGUUCAAUCUGAAGGGGAAAGCUUCUUGUAAAAGAGGCGCCGAUGGAGCGGCCCGCGUCCGAUUAGCUGGUUGGUGGGGUAACGGCCUACCAAGGCGACGAUCGGUAGCUGGUCUUAGAGGAUGAUCAGCCAGACUGGGACUGAGACACGGCCCAG
rnacentral:rRNA from 1 species